CCCUUACGCAGUUUCAGCCUCCUCGCUAAUCGAAUUUUCACCGGUCUUUAGAAAGUCGAUUAACAAGUCGAUCUGUCCAUGGUGACUCUAGGCUCCAGCAUCUCCAACAAAGUCUGCAAACGCGCCUCCCUUCUACAAGAUCGCUGCCUCGGAGGAGAUAUGGUGUUUUCAGGAAGUCGAUCUACGCCUAAGUCUCCUUACGCGCCUCAAGUCUACAAGAUCGCCGCCUCUGAGGAGUUCUGGUGGUUUUGAGCGAAUCGAUCUGCGGAGACUCUGACAAAGUUCUGCUAACGCGCCUCCCUUCCACAAGUUCGCCUCGGAUGACGCUCACCUUGUGUAGAAAAUCUCGGUCUAAGACUCAUCGGCCAGUCACACGUUCAUAUCCCCAAGGACGCGAAGGUGUCGCCUCCACUAACCAUUCGAGGUUUCACAUGUACAGAUUCUUGGAAGAGGCUCAAGCCAUUACAUCUCGAGGAUACAAGUGAAAAUGCCCUUCGUCAACAGCUACUAAAGGGAAUCUGGAACUCCACCGCAUCAAAUUAUAAUUUUCCGUUUCGGUGUUACUGCAAGGAGGGAAGGCUUAAUUGGUAAGUACCUUAAAAGGAUAUUGCAUGGGAACUGGGAAGUUCCUCCUUGAAGUAGAUCUUUUUCAUGCAAGAGGUGAUGUAGGCAAGUGGUAGCUGUAAAAAAUGGCCUUAUAGUCGAGGGUUUAACAACUACCUACAAACUCAUAUUACCAAAAAAAAAAAAACUGAAAAACAGAGAUUUUAAAACAAAAAAAUAAAUAACCUAAAAAGAAAAAACAUGUGUAUAGGUUAAAUCCUCUGGCUCUUGCGACUUGGUUAUUUUUUAGUUGUUAAGAAGAUAUAAAA